rnacentral:rRNA from 1 species
UACGUAGGGUGCGAGCGUUAAUCGGAAUUACUGGGCGUAAAGCGUGCGCAGGCGGUUUGCUAAGACAGGUGUGAAAUCCCCGGGCUUAACCUGGGAACUGCGCUUGUGACUGGCAGGCUAGAGUACGGCAGAGGGGGGUGGAAUUCCACGUGUAGCAGUGAAAUGCGUAGAUAUGUGGAGGAACACCAAUGGCGAAGGCAGCCCCCUGGGCCUGUACUGACGCUCAUGCACGAAAGCGUGGGGAGCAAAC